rnacentral:sRNA from 1 species
AUGCCUAUUGGAUCCAAAGAGAGGCCAACAUUUUUUGAAAUUUUUAAGACACGCUGCAACAAAGCAGAUUUAGGACCAAUAAGUCUUAAUUGGUUUGAAGAACUUUCUUCAGAAGCUCCACCCUAUAAUUCUGAACCUGCAGAAGAAUCUGAACAUAAAAACAACAAUUAUGAACCAAACCUAUUUAAAACUCCACAAAGGAAACCAUCUUAUAAUCAGCUGGCUUCAACUCCAAUAAUAUUCAAAGAGCAAGGGCUGACUCUGCCACUGUACCAAUCUCCUGUAAAAGAAUUAGAUAAAUUCAAAUUAGACUUAGGAAGGAAUGUUCCCAAUAGUAGACAUAAAAGUCUUUGCACAGUGAAAACUAAAAUGGAUCAAGCAGAUGAUGUUUCCUGUCCACUUCUAAAUUCUUGUCUUAGUGAAAGUCCUGUUGUUCUACAAUGCACACAUGUAACACCACAAAGAGAUAAGUCAGUGGUAUGUGGGAGUUUGUUUCAUACACCAAAGUUUGUGAAGGGUCGUCAGACACCAAAACAUAUUUCUGAAAGUCUAGGAGCUGAGGUGGAUCCUGAUAUGUCUUGGUCAAGUUCUUUAGCUACACCACCCACCCUUAGUUCUACUGUGCUCAUAGUCAGAAAUGAAGAAGCAUCUGAAACUGUAUUUCCUCAUGAUACUACUGCUAAUGUGAAAAGCUAUUUUUCUAAUCAUGAUGAAAGUCUGAAGAAAAAUGAUAGAUUUAUAGCUUCUGUGACAGACAGUGAAAACACAAAUCAAAGAGAAGCUACAAGUCAUGGAUUUGGAAAAACAUCAGGGAAUUCAUUUAAAGUAAAUAGCUGCAAAGACCACACUGGAAAGUCAAUGCCAAAUGUCCUAGAGGAUGAAGUAUAUGAAACAGUUGUAGAUACCUCUGAAGAAGAUAGUUUUUCAUUAUGUUUUUCUAAAUGUAGAACAAAAAAUCUACAAAAAGUAAGAACUAGCAAGACUAGGAAAAAAAUUUUCCAUGAAGCAAACGCUGAUGAAUGUGAAAAAUCUAAAAACCAAGUGAAAGAAAAAUACUCAUUUGUAUCUGAAGUGGAACCAAAUGAUACUGAUCCAUUAGAUUCAAAUGUAGCAAAUCAGAAGCCCUUUGAGAGUGGAAGUGACAAAAUCUCCAAGGAAGUUGUACCGUCUUUGGCCUGUGAAUGGUCUCAACUAACCCUUUCAGGUCUAAAUGGAGCCCAGAUGGAGAAAAUACCCCUAUUGCAUAUUUCUUCAUGUGACCAAAAUAUUUCAGAAAAAGACCUAUUAGACACAGAGAACAAAAGAAAGAAAGAUUUUCUUACUUCAGAGAAUUCUUUGCCACGUAUUUCUAGCCUACCAAAAUCAGAGAAGCCAUUAAAUGAGGAAACAGUGGUAAAUAAGAGAGAUGAAGAGCAGCAUCUUGAAUCUCAUACAGACUGCAUUCUUGCAGUAAAGCAGGCAAUAUCUGGAACUUCUCCAGUGGCUUCUUCAUUUCAGGGUAUCAAAAAGUCUAUAUUCAGAAUAAGAGAAUCACCUAAAGAGACUUUCAAUGCAAGUUUUUCAGGUCAUAUGACUGAUCCAAACUUUAAAAAAGAAACUGAAGCCUCUGAAAGUGGACUGGAAAUACAUACUGUUUGCUCACAGAAGGAGGACUCCUUAUGUCCAAAUUUAAUUGAUAAUGGAAGCUGGCCAGCCACCACCACACAGACUUCUGUAGCUUUGAAGAAUGCAGGUUUAAUAUCCACUUUGAAAAAGAAAACAAAUAAGUUUAUUUAUGCUAUACAUGAUGAAACAUCUUAUAAAGGAAAAAAAAUACCAAAAGACCAAAAAUCAGAACUAAUUAACUGUUCAGCCCAAUUUGAAGCAAAUGCUUUUGAAGCACCACUUACAUUUGCAAAUGCUGAUUCAGGUUUAUUGCAUUCUUCUGUCAAAAGAAGCUGUUCACAGAAUGAUUCUGAAGAACCAACUUUGUCCUUAACUAGCUCUUUUGGGACAAUUCUGAGGAAAUGUUCUAGAAAUGAAACAUGUUCUAAUAAUACAGUAAUCUCUCAGGAUCUUGAUUAUAAAGAAGCAAAAUGUAAUAAGGAAAAACUGCAGUUAUUUAUUACCCCAGAAGCUGAUUCUCUGUCAUGCCUGCAGGAAGGACAGUGUGAAAAUGAUCCAAAAAGCAAAAAAGUUUCAGAUAUAAAAGAAGAGGUCUUGGCUGCAGCAUGUCACCCAGUACAACAUUCAAAAGUGGAAUACAGUGAUACUGACUUUCAAUCCCAGAAAAGUCUUUUAUAUGACCAUGAAAAUGCCAGCACUCUUAUUUUAACUCCUACUUCCAAGGAUGUUCUGUCAAACCUAGUCAUGAUUUCUAGAGGCAAAGAAUCAUACAAAAUGUCAGACAAGCUCAAAGGUAACAAUUAUGAAUCUGAUGUUGAAUUAACCAAAAAUAUUCCCAUGGAAAAGAAUCAAGAUGUAUGUGCUUUAAAUGAAAAUUAUAAAAACGUUGAGCUGUUGCCACCUGAAAAAUACAUGAGAGUAGCAUCACCUUCAAGAAAGGUACAAUUCAACCAAAACACAAAUCUAAGAGUAAUCCAAAACAAUCAAGAAGAAACUACUUCAAUUUCAAAAAUAACUGUCAAUCCAGACUCUGAAGAACUUUUCUCAGACAAUGAGAAUAAUUUUGUCUUCCAAGUAGCUAAUGAAAGAAAUAAUCUUGCUUUAGGAAAUACUAAGGAACUUCAUGAAACAGACUUGACUUGUGUAAACGAACCCAUUUUCAAGAACUCUACCAUGGUUUUAUAUGGAGACACAGGUGAUAAACAAGCAACCCAAGUGUCAAUUAAAAAAGAUUUGGUUUAUGUUCUUGCAGAGGAGAACAAAAAUAGUGUAAAGCAGCAUAUAAAAAUGACUCUAGGUCAAGAUUUAAAAUCGGACAUCUCCUUGAAUAUAGAUAAAAUACCAGACAAAAAUAAUGAUUACAUGGACAAAUGGGCAGGACUCUUAGGUCCAAUUUCAAAUCACAGCUUUGGAGGUAGCUUCAGAACAGCUUCAAAUAAGGAAAUCAAGCUCUCUGAACAUAACAUUAAGAAGAGCAAAAUGUUCUUCAAAGAUAUUGAAGAACAAUAUCCUACUAGUUUAGCUUGUGUUGAAAUUGUAAAUACCUUGGCAUUAGAUAAUCAAAAGAAACUGAGCAAGCCUCAGUCAAUUAAUACUGUAUCUGCACAUUUACAGAGUAGUGUAGUUGUUUCUGAUUGUAAAAAUAGUCAUAUAACCCCUCAGAUGUUAUUUUCAAAGCAGGAUUUUAAUUCAAACCAUAAUUUAACACCUAGCCAAAAGGCAGAAAUUACAGAACUUUCUACCAUAUUAGAAGAAUCAGGAAGUCAGUUUGAAUUUACUCAGUUUAGAAAACCAAGCUACAUAUUGCAGAAGAGUACAUUUGAAGUGCCUGAAAACCAGAUGACUAUCUUAAAGACCAUUUCUGAGGAAUGCAGAGAUGCUGAUCUUCAUGUCAUAAUGAAUGCCCCAUCGAUUGGUCAGGUAGACAGCAGCAAGCAAUUUGAAGGUACAGUUGAAAUUAAACGGAAGUUUGCUGGCCUGUUGAAAAAUGACUGUAACAAAAGUGCUUCUGGUUAUUUAACAGAUGAAAAUGAAGUGGGGUUUAGGGGCUUUUAUUCUGCUCAUGGCACAAAACUGAAUGUUUCUACUGAAGCUCUGCAAAAAGCUGUGAAACUGUUUAGUGAUAUUGAGAAUAUUAGUGAGGAAACUUCUGCAGAGGUACAUCCAAUAAGUUUAUCUUCAAGUAAAUGUCAUGAUUCUGUUGUUUCAAUGUUUAAGAUAGAAAAUCAUAAUGAUAAAACUGUAAGUGAAAAAAAUAAUAAAUGCCAACUGAUAUUACAAAAUAAUAUUGAAAUGACUACUGGCACUUCUGUUGAAGAAAUUACUGAAAAUUACAAGAGAAAUACUGAAAAUGAAGAUAACAAAUAUACUGCUUCCAGUAGAAAUUCUCAUAACUUAGAAUUUGAUGGCAGUGAUUCAAGUAAAAAUGAUACUGUUUGUAUUCAUAAAGAUGAAACGGACUUGCUAUUUACUGAUCAGCACAACAUAUGUCUUAAAUUAUCUGGCCAGUUUAUGAAGGAGGGAAACACUCAGAUUAAAGAAGAUUUGUCAGAUUUAACUUUUUUGGAAGUUGUGAAAGCUCAAGAAGCAUGUCAUGGUAAUACUUCAAAUAAAGAACAGUUAACUGCUACUAAAACGGAGCAAAAUAUAAAAGAUUUUGAGACUUCUGAUACAUUUUUUCAGACUGCAAGUGGGAAAAAUAUUAGUGUCGCCAAAGAGUCAUUUAAUAAAAUUGUAAAUUUCUUUGAUCAGAAACCAGAAGAAUUGCAUAACUUUUCCUUAAAUUCUGAAUUACAUUCUGACAUAAGAAAGAACAAAAUGGACAUUCUAAGUUAUGAGGAAACAGACAUAGUUAAACACAAAAUACUGAAAGAAAGCGUCCCAGUUGGUACUGGAAAUCAACUAGUGACCUUCCAGGGACAACCCGAACGUGAUGAAAAGAUCAAAGAACCUACUCUGUUGGGUUUUCAUACAGCUAGUGGGAAAAAAGUUAAAAUUGCAAAGGAAUCUUUGGACAAAGUGAAAAAUCUUUUUGAUGAAAAAGAGCAAGGUACUAGUGAAAUCACCAGUUUUAGCCAUCAAUGGGCAAAGACCCUAAAGUACAGAGAGGCCUGUAAAGACCUUGAAUUAGCAUGUGAGACCAUUGAGAUCACAACUGCCCCAAAGUGUAAAGAAAUGCAGAAUUCUCUCAAUAAUGAUAAAAACCUUGUUUCUAUUGAGACUGUGGUGCCACCUAAGCUCUUAAGUGAUAAUUUAUGUAGACAAACUGAAAAUCUCAAAACAUCAAAAAGUAUCUUUUUGAAAGUUAAAGUACAUGAAAAUGUAGAAAAAGAAACAGCAAAAAGUCCUGCAACUUGUUACACAAAUCAGUCCCCUUAUUCAGUCAUUGAAAAUUCAGCCUUAGCUUUUUAUACAAGUUGUAGUAGAAAAACUUCUGUGAGUCAGACUUCAUUACUUGAAGCAAAAAAAUGGCUUAGAGAAGGAAUAUUUGAUGGUCAACCAGAAAGAAUAAAUACUGCAGAUUAUGUAGGAAAUUAUUUGUAUGAAAAUAAUUCAAACAGUACUAUAGCUGAAAAUGACAAAAAUAAUCUCUCUGCAAAACAAGAUACUUAUUUAAGUAACAGUAGCAUGUCUAACAGCUAUUCCUACCAUUCUGAUGAGGUAUAUAAUGAUUCAGGAUAUCUCUCAAAAAAUAAACUUGAUUCUGGUAUUGAGCCAGUAUUGAAGAAUGUUGAAGAUCAAAAAAACACUAGUUUUUCCAAAGUAAUAUCCAAUGUAAAAGAUGCAAAUGCAUACCCGCAAACUAUAAAUGAAGAUAUUUGUGUUGAGGAACUUGUGACUAGCUCUUCACCCUGCAAAAAUAAAAAUGCAGCCAUUAAAUUGUCCAUAUCUAAUAGUAAUAAUUUUGAGGUAGGGCCACCUGCAUUUAGGAUAGCCAGUGGUAAAAUCGUUUGUGUUUCACAUGAAACAAUUAAAAAAGUGAAAGACAUAUUUACAGACAGUUUCAGUAAAGUAAUUAAGGAAAACAACGAGAAUAAAUCAAAAAUUUGCCAAACGAAAAUUAUGGCAGGUUGUUACGAGGCAUUGGAUGAUUCAGAGGAUAUUCUUCAUAACUCUCUAGAUAAUGAUGAAUGUAGCACGCAUUCACAUAAGGUUUUUGCUGACAUUCAGAGUGAAGAAAUUUUACAACAUAACCAAAAUAUGUCUGGGUUGGAGAAAGUUUCUAAAAUAUCACCUUGUGAUGUUAGUUUGGAAACUUCAGAUAUAUGUAAAUGUAGUAUAGGGAAGCUUCAUAAGUCAGUCUCAUCUACAAAUACUUGUGGGAUUUUUAGCACAGCAAGUGGAAAAUCUGUCCAGGUAUCAGAUGCUUCAUUACAAAACGCAAGACAAGUGUUUUCUGAAAUAGAAGACAGUACCAAGCAAGUCUUUUCCAAAGUAUUGUUUAAAAGUAACGAACAUUCAGACCAGCUCACAAGAGAAGAAAAUACUGCUAUACGUACUCCAGAACAUUUAAUAUCCCAAAAAGGCUUUUCAUAUAAUGUGGUAAAUUCAUCUGCUUUCUCUGGAUUUAGUACAGCAAGUGGAAAGCAAGUUUCCAUUUUAGAAAGUUCCUUACACAAAGUUAAGGGAGUGUUAGAGGAAUUUGAUUUAAUCAGAACUGAGCAUAGUCUUCACUAUUCACCUACGUCUAGACAAAAUGUAUCAAAAAUACUUCCUCGUGUUGAUAAGAGAAACCCAGAGCACUGUGUAAACUCAGAAAUGGAAAAAACCUGCAGUAAAGAAUUUAAAUUAUCAAAUAACUUAAAUGUUGAAGGUGGUUCUUCAGAAAAUAAUCACUCUAUUAAAGUUUCUCCAUAUCUCUCUCAAUUUCAACAAGACAAACAACAGUUGGUAUUAGGAACCAAAGUCUCACUUGUUGAGAACAUUCAUGUUUUGGGAAAAGAACAGGCUUCACCUGAAAACGUAAAAAUGGAAAUUGGUAAAACUGAAACUUUUUCUGAUGUUCCUGUGAAAACAAAUAUAGAAGUUUGUUCUACUUACUCCAAAGAUUCAGAAAACUACUUUGAAACAGAAGCAGUAGAAAUUGCUAAAGCUUUUAUGGAAGAUGAUGAACUGACAGAUUCUGAACUGCCAAGUCAUGCCACACAUUCUCUUUUUACAUGUCCCGAAAAUGAGGAAAUGGUUUUGUCAAAUUCAAGAAUUGGAAAAAGAAGAGGAGAGCCCCUUAUCUUAGUGGGAGAACCCUCAAUCAAAAGAAACUUAUUAAAUGAAUUUGACAGGAUAAUAGAAAAUCAAGAAAAAUCCUUAAAGGCUUCAAAAAGCACUCCAGAUGGCACAAUAAAAGAUCGAAGAUUGUUUAUGCAUCAUGUUUCUUUAGAGCCGAUUACCUGUGUACCCUUUCGCACAACUAAGGAACGUCAAGAGAUACAGAAUCCAAAUUUUACCGCACCUGGUCAAGAAUUUCUGUCUAAAUCUCAUUUGUAUGAACAUCUGACUUUGGAAAAAUCUUCAAGCAAUUUAGCAGUUUCAGGACAUCCAUUUUAUCAAGUUUCUGCUACAAGAAAUGAAAAAAUGAGACACUUGGUUACUACAGGCAGACCAACCAAAGUCUUUGUUCCACCUUUUAAAACUAAAUCACAUUUUCACAGAGUUGAACAGUGUGUUAGGAAUAUUAACUUGGAGGAAAACAGACAAAAGCAAAACAUUGAUGGACAUGGCUCUGAUGAUAGUAAAAAUAAGAUUAAUGACAAUGAGAUUCAUCAGUUUAACAAAAACAACUCCAAUCAAGCAGCAGCUGUAACUUUCACAAAGUGUGAAGAAGAACCUUUAGAUUUAAUUACAAGUCUUCAGAAUGCCAGAGAUAUACAGGAUAUGCGAAUUAAGAAGAAACAAAGGCAACGCGUCUUUCCACAGCCAGGCAGUCUGUAUCUUGCAAAAACAUCCACUCUGCCUCGAAUCUCUCUGAAAGCAGCAGUAGGAGGCCAAGUUCCCUCUGCGUGUUCUCAUAAACAGCUGUAUAUGUAUGGCGUUUCUAAACAUUGCAUAAAAAUUAACAGCAAAAAUGCAGAGUCUUUUCAGUUUCACACUGAAGAUUAUUUUGGUAAGGAAAGUUUAUGGACUGGAAAAGGAAUACAGUUGGCUGAUGGUGGAUGGCUCAUACCCUCCAAUGAUGGAAAGGCUGGAAAAGAAGAAUUUUAUAGUUGUUCAGGGCUCUGUGUGACACUCCAGGUGUGGAUCCAAAGCUUAUUUCUAGAAUAUGGGUUUAUAAUCACUAUAGAUGGAUCAUAUGGAAACUGGCAGCUAUGGAAUGUGCCUUUCCUAAGGAAUUUGCUAAUAGAUGCCUAA